rnacentral:rRNA from 1 species
UACGUAGGGUGCAAGCGUUAAUCGGAAUUACUGGGCGUAAAGCGUGCGCAGGCGGUUCGUUGUGUCGGUGGUGAAAUCCCCGGGCUUAACCUGGGAAUGGCCAUGGAAACUGGCGAACUGGAGUGCGGCAGAGGGGGGUGGAAUUCCGCGUGUAGCAGUGAAAUGCGUAGAUAUGCGGAGGAACACCGAUGGCGAAGGCAGUCCCCUGGGCCUGCACUGACGCUCAUGCACGAAAGCGUGGGGAGCAAACAGG